UACGAGGGGGGCUAGCGUUGCUCGGAAUUACUGGGCGUAAAGGGCUCGUAGGCGGUUUGUUCAGUCAGGUGUGAAAUUCCCGGGCUCAACCUGGGGGCUGCACUUGAUACGUAUGGACUGGAGUGUGGAAGAGGGUCGUGGAAUUCCCAGUGUAGAGGUGAAAUUCGUAGAUAUUGGGAAGAACACCGGUGGCGAAGGCGGCGACCUGGUCAUUGACUGACGCUGAGGCGCGAAAGCCAGGGGAGCAAACGGG
rnacentral:rRNA from 1 species